UUCUUUCCGACGUUGGAGUCAAGUAAGAAAUUCUGAUUUUCUGGAUCCAUAUCGGCGUAGUGGCUCUUCAUGGCGGCCGGCUUGGUGGGGUAGGGGUAGCUGAAGUCGUUGCUGUUGGAGCUGUAGCUACUGCUGUCCUCGUCGGGAGAGAUGUUGAACUUGCCCAUCUCGGCGCUGCUCAUGUCGCAGGGGCCGCUCUUUUGUCCUUGGCGGCGGGGCGGCCGCGCCUCCUCCUCGGGCUGUGCGGCGGGUCUGUCCCGGACUCCCGUCGAGAUGGAGCGCUCGGCUCUGCGCUGUGCUUCUCGCAAGGAUUAAAAAAAUAAAUAAAUCCUCAGCUACAGAGCGUCAGCGGAGCGAGAAGCGAAGGGAACCCGAAAUAAAUAAAGGCGGGGUACGGUCACUGGGAAAAGCCGUCGGCGCGGAGGGAACAGAGGGGCAACGUUCUCGUAGCGGAGAGGCGCGCGGUGCUGGCUGCGGCGUCGCUCACGGUCUGACGGCCCCUCGGGGCGCCGCCGCUCUUCAGGCAGGAAUGCACCGCGUCAUCGCGAGGGGCGCGGCGCACGCGCUCCCGCCCUCCCGUCGGAGCCGCCACCGCCCCCCGCUCUGCCCGACUGACCCCCUUCCGCCGCACGGGCUGCGGGCGGGGCGCGGCACCGGGAGACCCCAGAGAGGAGGGGGCUGCGUCCCCCGCCCCGCGCUUGGCCCGGGGGGAGGGAGGGGGACUCGCGACGGAGCCCGCCCAUCCGUCGAACCUGUCCUGUCCGCGGUCACCCACGCGGUGUUGAGAACGGGGGCUGCGUGCACGUGCGUGAGCCCGGAUCCAGGGCUGCCACCGGGCGUCUCCUCAGGGAGACAAGAGGGAAUAGCGGCCUCCGGCUGGCGAUGGAGCGUGGGGUGAGAGGGAAAAUGUGCCUUCUCCCUCGCGGGGCAGCUGCUUCGAGGACGGCGGGCACGUAGCGCUCCGCUCCCGCACACGCACUGGGGGCCGUGAGGCGGUGCUCAGACCGCGGGCAGGACGGCUCAGCGGCCGCUCCUUGGCACUCUCGUUUGAGGGCCGGGGUCUCGGAGGCGGUUGUGCCGCCCACGUGAGCCAGGCCCAGGGGGUUCGAGCACCUCGGCCGCCUACGUCGUGUCAGCCCGGCUCGGCGCUUCUCCCCCCGUCCGGGGCACGGCGGGCAGCGCAGCCCAGCUCGGGGCAGCGAGGCUCUCCUCGAGCGGAGCUUCGCCCCUCCACACAGCCCCACCGGGCCCCAUCGCUUUGGACCCCACCGGGGCGCCCGCGACUCCCGCCCUCUGUCGGGCUGGGGCAUGGCCGCCUGGCAGAGCGUCGCCCCGCUGACCCAGGUGCUGAGCCGGCUGAGGCGGCACGACCGUUAGCAGCACAGAACGUUCCAGAGCGCCUCGACCCGAAGAACGAACGGGGUGAGGGGGAAGGAAGGAGGAGGGGGUGGGGUGGGACGCGGUUAGACGCGGCAGCAAGGGGCGGGGUGUAGCCGAGCACGCGCAGGAGGCGCGAGGCUGAAAAUUUUCCAUCCCGCAGUUCUCCCCCCGCCCCCAUCCGGGCGUGACAUCACCCCACCGCGAACGCUCACCCCCCUCUUUCUCUCUCCCCCCCCUUCCCCGAAGGGAGGUGGGCGGCAGCUCUGCGUUGCGGCGCCUUCCCGCGCGGCACGCCGCCCCUCCUGCGGAAGCGCGGUGCCGCUGGAUCGCGUCCGCCGCUGCCCUGGGCGAGGGGCGCUUUGGGCGGGCGCGGCCCCCGGUGGUGCCUCGUGAGGCGCCCGUGAGGCUGAGCUCGCCCCCGCCUUCACUCCUGUCCGCCCCGCUGCCUUGGGGUCGGGUUUCCGCAGCUCUCGAGGCGCGCGUGGCAGUGGCGGUGCUGCGCAGCUGCGCCCGGAGCGGCCGCGGCUCCCACAGCUCCGAAAGCGGCCUGAGGGGCGCCGCGCCGUUCCCGCGGUGCGCUGUCAGCGGGGCUGCUGUGGCGUGCAUCCCCCUGAAGCGGUAGCGGGCGUUUGGCAGCGCCGUUCUGCAGGCCUGAGCUGUUACGCAGCUCGCACCGCAGAGGUCAGGCUGACCCGUUGCGGUUUCUGCUGGUUCCUCCAAACAUCACUUUUGUUGUGGGCACGGUAACUUGGAGAUAGCGUUGGCAGCGUCCUUCUGAAGGAUGGCUUGGUGUCGGUCCGAUAAGCACAGGGAGGUCUUCACACGUGUAAAGCGGCUACUGUGAAUAGCACAGCCGUACUGUUGGUUGUUUCUUCAAGCUAAAUCCUUAUUUUAUGUCUUCAUAGAUGAGUGUUGGAUUUUUUUUUUCCCCAUAACUGUCCUCGUAUUAAACCAAAACAACGUGAAACGUGAUAAGAUUUCUUUCCUCAUUUAUCAGAAUAAAAUCUGUCACAACACACUUAGAAAAAAGGCACUUUCUGAACCUAAUGGCCCCAUUACUGGGAGGGUCGGUGUGUGGCGCACAGUGCUCCCCGCACUGCUCUGUGGUACUGAGGCUGUAACAUCUUUACCCAUUUUAGGCUCUUAGGUGGCUGAAAUGGUCCACUUUUUCAAGCGGUUUUAAGUAAUGCCUCGCUGAUUGAAUUAUGAUUUUCCUGACUGUAAUUACCAAGAAUGUACUUGGCAAAACGUACAUGCAGUGUGUUUCAUCCGACUUUGAAACACAUUUUGCAAUCAGAAGAAUAAAAGUUAAUAUUCAUCAGUUCCUCCCACCAUAGUUUAAGCAAUUUGUUUUGUUUUCAUUGGGGCAUUGCUUUUCUUCCCUUUUUUGCAGCUUUCUUACAUUCUUCCCUUUCAGCCCCCUUACCCUUUAUCUGUCCAUAUUCCCUCAUCUCUGUACCUUCCUUUUUUAAUGCUUUUUUAUAUUCUAUUCUUUGGUCUGUAUCUACUCAUUACAGACUUCCUUACAAACUUUGAGCCUUUAAGAGAGCUAAGAAGGAACUCUUUGCACAACACGUUUCUGUAUUUACUUGGGUACAGCGUUACGAGUGGCGUGGUUCCCCCCGCUCUCAUAAUCAUUUUGGGGUGACUCUUUGCACUUUCAAGACAAAGCAAACCCAGAUGAACAAAAACAAGGUACAGAACUAUAAGGGUGUUGUAAGAGAAGCUGUGGUUGGAUCGUUAGGUGCUGAAGAAACUGAGUUAGCUUCAG
rnacentral:lncRNA from 1 species